GAGUUUGAUCCUGGCUCAGGACGAACGCUGGCGGCGCGCCUAACACAUGCAAGUCGAACGGAGCUGAGAGGAGCUUGCUUUUCUUAGCUUAGUGGCGAACGGGUGAGUAACGCGUGAGUAACCUGCCCUGGAGUGGGGGACAACAGUUGGAAACGACUGCUAAUACCGCAUAAGCCCACGAUCCGGCAUCGGAUUGAGGGAAAAGGAUUUAUUCGCUUCAGGAUGGACUCGCGUCCGAUUAGCUAGUUGGUGAGGUAACGGCCCACCAAGGCGACGAUCGGUAGCCGGACUGAGAGGUUGAACGGCCACAUUGGGACUGAGACACGGCCCAGACUCCUACGGGAGGCAGCAGUGGGGAAUAUUGCACAAUGGGGGAAACCCUGAUGCAGCGACGCCGCGUGAAGGAAGAAGUAUCUCGGUAUGUAAACUUCUAUCAGCAGGGAAGAAAAUGACGGUACCUGACUAAGAAGCCCCGGCUAACUACGUGCCAGCCGCCGCGGUAAUUC
rnacentral:rRNA from 1 species